CUUGUAACUCCACCUGUGGCUCUUCUAGAGUUACUGUCGGUCCCAAGCCCGAGUAAAGGAGGAGGGUUGG
ncrna:Schistosoma mansoni type-P1 twister ribozyme